UCCUUAAAAAUUAUUCUAAUAACGACACAUGACAUAUUUCAUAUAUUGUAAUGAUUUUCUAGAGAUUACUAUCUCAGUUUAGUCAAGUUUCCCUUAAAAGAUUCUUUGUAAAACAAAACUAAUCGGUCAACAUUAUCCUAUUAUAUGUAUAUUAUAAGUCGCGGUAUAUAUAUAAAAUCCCUCUUCUUCCAUCAUAACCCUUAACUCUCUGUCUUUCUCUGGAAUAUAUAGUAUUAGUCUCUUGAAAAAUGAAAUACGCUUUGUGUUUCGUCUCAUCCCUUCUCGUGAUUUCUUUCAUACUUCUCCUUGCCACAGAGAUGAAUCUGGUGGAAGCAAGAGUUAAUGGGGAAAGAAGCAAAACUUACGUUAUUUGUGGAAACGAAAGAGUAUGCAACUGGACCUGCAUCUUUAACGAGCAUUUCACAAGAGGCCGAUGCCGACACUUAUAUUGUUACUGCUUCCGCUAGCAUUUUUAAGAUGUGAUCUUCAUAAUGUUAAUUACCUUAAAAACAUAUUAUAUUAUAUCUUAUCCCUUCUAUCCUUGUUAACUAAUUAUAUAUUCAGUUAAUAACAUACUUUAAAUAUUUUAUCUAAACUAUUUCAUAAUUAAAAAUAAUUAAUGUAUUUUAAUAAGAUCUUAAAUUUGACUCUACUUUUUUGUUUUUA